GCAUUUUGUAAAAAUAACUUUGAGUCCUACUUUAGUUUCCAAACAUUCAAACACUGAAAUGCAUGAAGAAAUAUGUGAACCAUGUGCUUUGUGCAGACUUCAGAGAGUCCAUGGAGCAGUCUCCGCUGAGCUAUGCCAUGUGGCAUCUUCGCAUUGCAGCACUGAUCCUAAUGAUUGUCAUCACUAUUUUAGUCAUCAGAUACAGAGGAAACAAAAAGCUCCUUGAAGAGAGCAACGUUCGUUAUAUUGGUGACUGUGAUGAUGCCACAGUGAUCUAUGAGAAUGUGACAAAGUCUGGCUGACCCUGAACUGCACUGAACUUCAGAGCACAUACUUCAGCUCAACAUUUUCUUAAUCCCUUUGCAACUACUUAGAUUUUCUUUAACUCUUUUGUAUAUUAACAAUAAUGUAAUGUACACCAUCCAACUAAAAAAAUAGACCUGUAACCAGGUUUAGUUUUUUUUCGGUCAAAUCUUACUUUCUACCUACUAAAACUGCAGUAAUGGAGUGAUCCUGAAUGGAGUUAUGCUGCUUCUUGCUUAUAUAACGUUUGAUUCCUGAAGAUAAAUAAAGCUGAAAACUGUGAAUGGAGAAGAAAUGCUCAGUGCAUUAGCAGCCUCAGCCUGUAGCAGCAUAACUAAAGGAUAAUUCAGAGUCAUCUGAACCAUCCCUAUGAGAUUUAUCAAAAAUGAAAAUUAGGAGUCUAAUCCUAAAGCAGCCAUGGCGUCUGACUUCUGAAUCCCAACUGGCAGCACAGGAGAAGAGGCAAAUAGCUGAAAGUGCUGCCUCACAUUCUUCUUUUGGAAACUCUAAAUGCUGAAUCUCAAAAGGUUGAUUCUGCUCACCUGGACGUAGACUUUUCAAUGGGAGAAACGUUUCAUCACUCAUCACUCUCAGCUGACUGCAGGUUUCCCCAACCUUAUAAACAGUGCAUUUGCACAAAUGAACAAUGGGCUGUGAGGUCAAUUCCUUGAUCAUUAAUAUGCAAAUUGUCAUGACCAUUGAUCAACAACCACUGAUCAAAGAUCAUUGACCACUUGGGUGCACCUCUCCAUCACUGAACACACCUUUCUGGCAAGCCUCCAGUUUUCUUUGUCCUCCAGAUGUAUUUUAGCAAUUGAGAUAUCAUUCACAACAGAUACUGAAACUGAUCUCCAUGUCACAGGUAGAACAAGGAGAUGAAGCUGCGCAAAUGAGAAAAAACCCUAAAGAUAAUUGAAUAAUUGAAUAAUUGAAUAAUUGAAUAAUCCAAAAAUGUACCUCCUUCUGAAUCACAUUUCCUUGACCUCCAUGGAGGUUGCUAUCCCACUUUUACCAUCAGCAUGCUCUGCAUUUAGAGGUGGCUUUGUCUAAGUGUGUCCAGUGUAGGAUGGUUUUUUGGUUGAGCCAGUUUAAUAUAAGUUUGCUCUGCUGAUGUUAUCUCAGGAUGUUAGUGCAGGAGAUGAGCCCUCAUUUUUGUAGUAUUCACAGAUUAUUUUUUUUAUUUAUUUAAUAAACUAUCAAAUCUCUGUGUGAAUACAUAAAAUAGCUACAAAAGAUAUUAUAAUACCAUCAACCCCCCCACCCCAAACUCUAGUACUCACAGGAAUGGUCACAUUGUUUUCCAGAUAACUGAUUGGCCAGUAGGUAAUGACAUCAUACUGUAAAGAUUGACCCAACACACUGUGAUGCUGUUCACUUGAGGAGUGUUUAUUGAAACACCACACAUGUGGCUUUAUGUUUCAGUGCACUGUUCACCAACUUUUCAGUUAGUCAUCUGCGAACACUCCUCCCUCUGGCCUCUGGCUUCACUAUAUAAAAAGGGAGAAACCUCGUUAGGCAAAUCAUCGCCGCCUGUCCCUCCAGCCUCCUUGGCACCGCCCACUUGAGCUCAACUGCCCCACUCCUCCCCUGCAGCUUAGCCAGCGGUCACACCUCCACCACACAUACCUGUUGAUUUCAGGCAGUAGAGCCUGUUCUCUAACAAUUACAGAUCUCUAAGAUUAGUAGUUCAAUCCCAGGUUCCAUCAGCUCUUGACUAGGUUUGAUCUCCUAAUUGUCCUGGAUGUAGCCGUGAGUGUGUGUGACUGCUAGAAAAAGUGUUUGAAGGCCUAUUUGAAUUGGUGGAUUGUAGUAAAAAGCAGUAUGAGUGCCAGUCCGAUUAUCAUUACCAAGAAAGAGACACAAAGCUAAUUUUACAGAACAGAGAAAGAUGAGGCAGAGAGCAGGAAGAGUAAAACAUGGACAGUAAAACAGACAAAGACUCAACAGUAUCAUUAGAAAUUACUCUAUUACAAAAAUAACAAAAUCAAAAUGGGAAUUCAAAACUCAAACAAUAAAGAAAUAAAUAAAUGUAGAGCACAAGAACAGCAGUAAAAUCAAAUAAAAAAGUGCCCAAUGCCAGGGACUGCGACCCACAUUCAGAUUAAUACAUACCCUGUCAAACUGUGCAGAUACGUUGGGUGACAAAUAGGACAAUUUUGCAAGUUUUUC
ensembl:lncRNA